rnacentral:misc_RNA from 1 species
UUCACCUAUAUCCUGUACCUUUUGGGGAUGGGCUAUGAUUUGGACGCUGUCUGUUUGACUCGUCUGAAAUGUAUGGGCUCUGUCAGGCUCUCGGGUCUGGCAGACGGUAGACAGUCCUUGGGCUGUGCCUCUCAACUGAUUGAGCAAUCACGGUGAAGAGGUGCAUUUGUCCGGGUCGUCUACCUAUGCCGCUGCGGGUUAAACUGCACAACAAAUAGGAUGUAAUUCUAUCAUU